CAGCAGCGUCCGUGGUAUUCCAAAUCCGUUUAAAAAACUCGGACUUUGGCCUGGACGCUUGCUGAUCAUGGCCAAUACUAAAACUUACUGGCGUGCGGCAUCUCCCCCCAAGUGCCCCGCCAGCCAAGGUACCGUGGACCGCGUAUCUUGAUUUACUCCUAAUGGUCUUGACCCGGAUUCAUCCCCCAGAGUCCGG
rnacentral:sRNA from 1 species